CCUACGGGUGGCAGCAGUGGGGAAUAUUGGACAAUGGGCGAAAGCCUGAUCCAGCCAUGCCGCGUGUGUGAAGAAGGCCUUCGGGUUGUAAAGCACUUUCAGUGGGGAAGAAAGCCUUGGGGCUAAUACCCUCGAGGAAGGACAUCACCCACAGAAGAAGCACCGGCUAACUCCGUGCCAGCAGCCGCGGUAAUACGGAGGGUGCGAGCGGUAAUCGGAAUUACUGGGCGUAAAGCGCGCGUAGGCGGUCUGAUAAGCCGGUUGUGAAAGCCCCGGGCUCAACCUGGGAACGGCAUCCGGAACUGUCAGGCUAGAGUGCAGGAGAGGAAGGUAGAAUUCCCGGUGUAGCGGUGAAAUGCGUAGAGAUCGGGAGGAAUACCAGUGGCGAAGGCGGCCUUCUGGACUGACACUGACGCUGAGGUGCGAAAGCGUGGGUAGCAAACAGGAUUAGAUACCCGAGUAGUC
rnacentral:rRNA from 1 species